rnacentral:rRNA from 1 species
GACGAACCGUGCGAACGUUGUUCGGAUUCACUGGGCUUAAAGGGCGCGUAGGCGGUCGACCAAGUCUGGGGUGAAAUCUUUCGGCUCAACCGGAAAAGUGCCCCCGAUACUGGCCGGCUAGAGGGAGAUAGGGGCAUGUGGAACUUCCGGUGGAGCGGUGAAAUGCGUAGAUAUCGGGAGGAACACCUGUGGCGAAAGCGGCGCACUGGACCACAACUGACGCUGAGGCGCGAAAGCUAGGGGAGCAAACAGG